UUUAAAAUAUGCAAAGAAACAUUUAUUGUUGCAACCGAAAUGAAAUUCAACGAAAAUCUAAAUAAAAAGGCAACAGUUUCUAUGUUGAUCAACAACACGAAACAAAGUGAAACAAAACUACAAAAAAUUCAGAUUUCUACUAAAUGCUGAAUUUGGAUACUUAAACCACGAAACAAAACCAACAAAAGGAUCCAGCCAUGCCCACAAACUGGACACCGGACCACAGGAAAUGUGUAAAAUUGAAAAUUCAUCAUGUAAACUGUCAUUUGAACUAAAAACGCAAACACGCCGGAGAAGAAUAUCUUCACCUUUAAAUUUAAAUGACAUCAUAAAAGAAGCUUGCCGGACACUGCUGCCAGCUAUCCCGAAGAACUGUGAAAAAUAAAAUAGUGGUGUCGCUUUCACCACAUCACAACCUAUGAAGAACAGUGAUUUACUAUAAACUUUAUUAACUAAUAAGCUGUGAAAUUAUGUGCUGUGAUCUCUAAUAAAAUAUACUGUGUUGAAAAUUCUGGUGUUUGAAAGUGAAAAAUUAAAAGUAUAGUAAUAAUGACAGUUGUUUUCCUUAAUAAACUUAAUCCGUAAUGAACUAUUAUGUUUACUAGCUUAAUCCAUCAAAACAAUUUCAUUGCAGUGUAAAAUAGUCAAAAGUAACAAAUACUAAAAAAAAAUCAUUACUAAAAUUGCAGUUCCAAUAAACAGUUGGUCAAAAUUAUAAAACUAAAAAGUUACCGAACAAAAUUCAAACAAAUAUCAAUUUCAUAAACUAUUUUCUAAUUGAAAUGUUGACUACACACUAUUUUUCCAAAAAGAAAUACUAAAAUGCUAAAGCAUACGAAAAACCAGACUAAAUAAAUCCAAAAUAGUAUCCAAAAUUAUUCAAAACAAACAUGUGCUUUGAUAUUAGUUAAGUCAGCAAAAUUUGUUAACCUCAAAAUGUAUCACACAAAAUGUAACUCUUUUCUAAAAAUUAUAUGUCAAAUGAACAUAAAAUAAAAACACAAAAUGUAUGCUAAUACCAAAAAUACAAUGCAACAAACAUUUAACUUCAAAAUAGUUACUAAAAGUUUCACAAAAGGUGAGACACAAAAAUUAAAGUAAUUUCUGGUGCAUAACAAAAUCUAGGCUUAUCCUUCAGCAAGUCAUUACUAAAAAAUCAAAAUUCCCAGGGCGCCAGUGUAACGGUGGUGUAUUUGGUGGGGGGUAAAUUAAAUGGAAUGGAAAGCUCCGGCUAGUUCAAAGUAAAUACACCCACGUUAGCACAAAAUUUAUAAUAAAACAAAAGCUAAAUGGUGUCUCUAUACUUGCUGGAGGAAAGCUAGAGGAGAAACAAAUUAAACAAUAUCACAUUUUAUAUAUUUAUUAUACCAAAAUCUUGCCUUACAGAUAGGUUUAAGUUAAUGUUUCCAAAAUACUAAAUUUGACACCAUAUAUGAAAUAAGAACUACGCUCAGUGGUAAAGCUGGGCCGCUUUAAGAGGGUCCAGGAAAAGGUUUCUUACAACCAUUUAUUCUACAAAAACUAAAUAUGAAUUUACCUAAAGUUAUUCACCAGAAUUCUCAAAAUAAAUGAAAUCAGAAAUUACUUUACACAGAAAUUAAAACCUGAAUUACCCAGCACUACCGGCAGGAAACGGGCAGGAGACACACCUUGUCAGGGAUGAGCCGGCUGCUCCCCGGACUCCGGUGCUGACGCCCCCUCGCCACGUGGACAGGGCUGACCCUUCCAUACGAAAACAAGGUCCAAAGGCACCUUGCGCCAGUAACGCCAAAGAAAGUUUCCUUGCACAUCAAAAUUGUAAAAGUUCUUGUUAAAUUCUACUUCUGCAAUUCUCUAAUUCUUUACUUCUUCCCGACUCCUAUGAAACAAAUAAAUUGGUCACAUUAGUCGAGUGCCCUCACACACUGUGAUAGACUAAACAAAAAAAUGUAAGCGAGCUCACCGGAGACCUGCAGACUGCAGACCGAGGAUCUCCAAGGAGCACUCCCACCCUUAGCAUGUUUCUGCCAGCUGGAAAUAAACCAAUUUAUGGUUAAGAAUCUCUCCACGUUUCACGCCAUGGAAAUAUCAAAAGCUCACAAAGAAAUCUACUUACUCAGACUGACAGAACGCACCACACAAAAUAUGGAACGCCACGGCAGCACGUGGCAUGCCGGGCUCCAGGCCCUUAUACGGCCGUCCGAUCACUAUACAAGAGGAUCUCGUCACAGAAAGAACGGCGCACUGAAUGAUCUCGAAUUUAAAGGACCCAAAACAAAAGCCGGGUGGCAAACGAAUAAACAAUAAAAUACUCUAAUUCAUUAAAUGAAAAUUACUCCAGUUUCUGUAUCAGACCUUGAAGUAAACAAAACCUAACAAAUAUCAUUCCAGAACAGCCUUAAAAAACCUAUGAUAACAUUUGUUAUCAUGUCUCUAAAAUAUUAUAUUUUCCAAAAAUCAAUACUUAAAGUAUAUCAAAACUAUACAAAGUUUUCCUGGAAUGACAGCCAAAAUACCUACAAUUUCGAAUAAUACUUGUUGUAUGGCAACCCUACAACAGAUAAACAUAAAUAUGUGCAUUUGAAGUGCAACAGAUAAUGCAAUGAACGAGAAGGAAGUGUUUCAUUCAAAAAUUAAAUCUAUCCAAAAUAUUUAAUUACGACUAUCAAAAAAUCUGCUACGUUACAAUACCCCCCUUCCCGAUUUAAGGUUCAACGUAGGUGAACCGCUCGCUGUCCUCAGCGACUUUCAUAAAAAAAAAAACAAAAUCUGAAGGCAAGAAAACUAAACCUACCAAAAAAAUAUCAGAAUCAAAAAAACCUGACGCAAGUUCGAGACUGUAAAAUCUCAAAAAAAAAUCCCCCAAUAUCUACAAAAUUAUACCAAAAGGUAUUUAAAAACAAGCAAACUACUGUUUGACCACAAAAAAAAAUAUUAAAAAAAAAUCUCGAACCCGCGUCAACCCUCGGAGGGUGAAAAAACUAUGCGGCCAACUGCGCUGCAUAUAGAAAAAAACCUCCGCUAAUUUCCAAAACAGUAAACCAACCGUUGGCCUUCUCAGUGCAACUUGCAAUAAAGCUUGUUGUGCUGAGAAAGCCAAAAAACCAACCGCCAGGACCGAUGUUCAGCAUUCCAAGAAAAAAACUCAGCUAGACCGGGCGAAACCAAAGUUAUAGGCUUCCGACUAUAACUUCCAAAACCAAACCAAAAUCAUUGUUACAGCCCUACAGGUUGACGACACCUGCUUGUCUCAACCCUUCAGGUGAACAAACUAAAAAAAAACAAAC
rnacentral:lncRNA from 1 species